AAGCAGAGAUUCACCGCUUCGUGUCCUUAAAAACGUCACAGAAAGAGAAAUGGAACAAGGAAGAGAAGACUGACACACAAAGUCUGAUGAAUCUGUUGGACAAAAAUAUGCCUAAGCAAAGUUUCUUGAUAUGACCUUAACACUAUUCGACCUCACUCCUUACCUCUGUUUUUAUCGUUUCAUCUUUUUUUUAUUAAAAACAAUGAUCUGUAUUUCAAUAAAAGAUACGAAAAGAGUCAUUAUUAUGUAAC